rnacentral:rRNA from 1 species
GACGAACGCUGGCGGCGUGCCUAAUACAUGCAAGUAGAACGCACAGUAUAUACCGUAGCUUGCUACACCAUAGACUGUGAGUUGCGAACGGGUGAGUAACGCGUAGGUAACCUGCCUGGUAGCGGGGGAUAACUAUUGGAAACGAUAGCUAAUACCGCAUAAUAUUAAUUAUUGCAUGAUAAUUGAUUGAAAGAUGCAACUGCAUCACUACCAGAUGGACCUGCGUUGUAUUAGCUAGUAGGUGAGGUAACGGCUCACCUAGGCGACGAUACAUAGCCGACCUGAGAGGGUGAUCGGCCACACUGGGACUGAGACACGGCCCAGACUCCUACGGGAGGCAGCAGUAGGGAAUCUUCGGCAAUGGACGAAAGUCUGACCGAGCAACGCCGCGUGAGUGAAGAAGGUUUUCGGAUCGUAAAGCUCUGUUGUAAGAGAAGAACGGGUGUGAGAGUGGAAAGUUCACACUGUGACGGUAUCUUACCAGAAAGGGACGGCUAACUACGUGCCAGCAGCCGCGGUAAUACGUAGGUCCCGAGCGUUGUCCGGAUUUAUUGGGCGCAAAGCGAGCGCAGGCGGUUAGAUAAGUCUGAAGUUAAAGGCUGUGGCUUAACCAUAGUACGCUUUGGAAACUGUUUAACUUGAGUGCAGAAGGGGAGAGUGGAAUUCCAUGUGUAGCGGUGAAAUGCGUAGAUAUAUGGAGGAACACCGGUGGCGAAAGCGGCUCUCUGGUCUGUAACUGACGCUGAGGCUCGAAAGCGUGGGGAGCGAACAGG